rnacentral:rRNA from 1 species
AGGGCACCACCAGGAGUGGAGCCUGCGGCUUAAUUUGACUCAACACGGGAAAACUUACCCGGCCCGGACACUGGAAGGAUUGACAGAUUGAGAGCUCUUUCUUGAUUCAGUGGGUGGUGGUGCAUGGCCGUUCUUAGUUGGUGGAGCGAUUUGUCUGGUUAAUUCCGAUAACGAACGAGACUCUAGCCUACUAAAUAGACCAGUGGCUUCCUAAAACACGCCACUGGCCGCUUCUUAGAGGGACAAGCGGCGUCUAGCCGCAUGAAAUAGAGCAAUAACAGGUCUGUGAUGCCCUUAGAUGUCCGGGGCUGCACGCGCGCUACACUGAAAGAGUCAGCGUGCGUUUUACCUAGUUCGGAAGAACCGGGUAACCCAAGUAAAUUCUUUCGUGCUUGGGAUAGAGAAUUGCAAUUAUUUCUCUUAAACGAGGAAUUCCCAGUAAAUGCGGGUCAUAAGCUCGCGUUGAUUACGUCCCUGCCCUUUGUACACACCGCCCGUCGCUACUACCGAUUGGAUGAC